rnacentral:rRNA from 1 species
AUCAGGGGUAAACCUGUGGAACUCGAACGAACGAACGGGGAGAUUCACCGUAUUUCCGUAAGCGAUUCAGGAUCCGCGAUGCGAUUUCGUUCUCGCGAUGGUGUGGCGUCGUUCGCGCGAUGUCCGCCGUCGCGACGGUCGCGUCGUCCGUAAGGUCCGCGGAAUGCGUGCACUUCUCCCUUAGUAAAACACCGCGACCCGUUCGAAGGAGAUCGAACGCGCCGUGCGGUUGUCCCGUUUCGAACGUCAAAAAUUCGGGACGGAGCCGCGGCGUCGCGAUCUCGAUCGGACGGUAGAGAACGAGGUGCGCGUUCGUCGUCCGGUUUCUGACCGGACCGACGUCCGUUUCGCGAGCCGUGCGAACCUCGUGCGAACCUCGACGCGUUCACGCGUCGUGGGAUUUCGUACGUUGUCUGUUCGUUCGCGUAUCGCGUCGUCUCGGACGGAACGCGUCCCGGUCUGCGGUGGUUUUGUUUCGGGCACUCACAGGACCCGUCUUGAAAC